rnacentral:rRNA from 1 species
UUUAUUAAAAACAUGUCUUUUUGAAUAAUAAUUUAAAGUCUUCCCUGCCCCCUGAAAAUUAAAUGGCCGCGGUAUUUUGACCGUGCAAAGGUAGCAUAAUCAUUAGUUUUUUUAUUGAAAGCUGGAAUGAAAGGGAGAAUGAAAAAAUUUCUGUCUCUAAUUUAUUUAAUUAAAAUUUUAUUUUUAAGUAAAAAAGCUUAAAUUUCAUUAAAAGACGAUAAGACCCUAUAGAGUUUAAUAUAAUAUAAAAAAUUUAUAAAAAAGAAUUAAAUUUAUUUAUUUUUUUAUUAUAUUUUAUUGGGGUGAUAAAAAAAUUUAUUAAACUUUUUUUAAUAUUUAACAUUAAUUUAUGAAUUAUUGAUCCAAUAUUUUUGAUUAUAAGAUUAAAUUACCUUAGGGAUAACAGCGUUAUUUUUUUUAAGAGUUCUAAUCGAAAAAAAAGUUUGCGACCUCGAUGUUGGAUUAAAAUUAAAUUUUGGAGUAGCAAUUAAAAAUUUAGGUCUGUUCGACCUUUAAAAUUUUACAUGAUCUGAGUUUARACCGGUGUGAGCCAGGU